CAAGUCAUCCAAUCGCCCACGCGCACCCGCCCCACCAGCCACGACCGACCCGCAAACCCUAGCCGCCUCGACCUCCGCCUCCGCUUCAGCAAUGGUCGGCGCCUUUGCGGCUCGACGGCGCUGCUGGAUACCCCUCCCGCGCGCUGGCCUGUGCUGCACCGCACAACCGGAAGCCCGGCGGCCGGCAGGACCAUGCAGGGGCAUGUCGUGGGUCGCCCCGGCCGGCAGAAGCUCACCCCCGCAUCCUUGCUCUGCAGCAAAUCUCGGUCUCGUCCACACUCGCAGUUACCCCCAUCAAAGGAUGAACUUUUCCAUGUGGUUGCUCUAACGGGGUUCUCCCCGUCGCUGCGAUUGCUGUCAGGUGUGACUCUCCAUGAAUGCACCGGCAGCAUCCUUGGGCCAGCCUCUGGUCAAGAGGAGAGAUCCAGAUGAACAUAUGUUAAGGCACAACAGGCUAACGAGAGGCAGUUGAUAGAUCACUAUGGAUCAAAGCAUCCCAGGGAGAAACCUCCAGGUCCAUCAAAUGCAGACUGACUGAUGCGAAGUGGAAGCGUGAGCUGUAGUUGACUGUUUCUGAGGGUGUUCAAUCUGCUCCAUACUUGGAUGACUCAGCUUCAGCUUUUCCCGUUGUAAUGUAUGCAUUUCCGUGUCCACUCAGAUUGUUCUAUUAUCUCUUUGAUAUGAAUUACUUGCAGAGAAAUUCUUGCAUGGCGUGAAAUACAACCAUGGGGUGUUCAAUUGCCAUCUUUGAUUAGGCUGGGGAUUCUUUUACAGGAUGCAGGUUUUGUACCAUAUGAUCAUUGAGUUGCAUAUGAAUAUAUGAUUUCCCCUUUUGACAUGGGCAUGUGCCAUGUAGUAUAACAUUUACAAAGAAUGACAUGGAAAUUGCAAGUAAAUGGUUACUCUACCCUAUUGCUUCUUUAGGACUGAGACAUGGUGAUAAGAAUCUAGAGAUGCGUACUCCUCUGUCACAAUAAGAUCAAGUCGCCUGUCAUAUUGUUGAUUCUUGUACAGAUUAAAUUGUGAGCAAUUAGGACACAUACCCUUCUUCUUGCCAUAUUGUUGAUUCUCUUACAGAUCCACCUCCCAUGUUGCCGGCAAGGGUCUGUAUGCAUUAGUGGUUUAGUAUGGUGUUCUAAAGAAGACCGCCCCACUUUGUGGCCACUGCAGCUGUUAAUAGGGAGGCCACCCAUCAGUGUCACUAAAUGCUGUGGCAAUAUCCUCUUCUUUUCUUCACUUCGGGGAUGGCCGCAGUUCUACCCCUGACGCCGCUGCACGUAAGCGGGAUGUAAUUGUCUCGUUGACUCUGCACUGUACUAGAAAUUUGGAGGCCAAGGCAAUCAACAAACGAUGUAUCUAACUACAGGCACUCGAUUUCAGAUGAGAGCGCUGGCUAUGUUUGAGUGCCAAGUCUUGUAGUAUCAGUGAAUGCAUUUAUAAUUUGGAGAGUCGGUGCUUACAACAGUAGUCCCAGGAUGUUGUGGCAGGAGGAUGACAGUUAGAUGGGCUGAUGUUUGUCCUAGGUGACUUGGGGAUUGAAGACUUGCAAGUUAUGUACUGCCUCUAUCAAAAUAUGACAUUUUUGCAUUUCAAUUUGAACUGCAAAAACGUCUUAUAUUUUGGUAUGGAGGGAGUAUAUCUGUUGAUGGAUUUGGAUUAGAAACUCGAGAUGGUUUAUUGCAAGAGUUAAUUCAAAGAAAACACUGUAACAGGAAGUUGCUGAGUGACAUUUGCAUUGUUUUUCAUGGCUUGGUUAGUUGUAAAGAGUAUUUUGUAAGUAUUGUACUCCCUCUGUAAACUAAUAUAAGAGCAUUUAGAUCACUAUUUUAGUAUUCUAAACACUCUUAUAUUAGUUUAGAAAGCAACAUUUUCAUGGUUCUGUAAGGACUGUUGUAGUGGCAGUAUUUGUAUUUGUAAGAAAUUUAUUGUAACAGGCAUGCUAAAGAUUUGGAUGGAAUGUGCGACUCGAUCGGUACUAUUUUUCCUACA